rnacentral:rRNA from 1 species
UACGUAGGCAGCGAGCGUUGUUCGGAGUUACUGGGCGUAAAGGGUGUGUAGGCGGUUGUUUUAAGUUUGGUGUGAAAUCUCCCGGCUCAACUGGGAGGGUGCGCCGAAUACUGAAUGACUUGGAGUGCGGGGAGAGGUGAGUGGAAUUCCUGGUGUAGCGGUGAAAUGCGUAGAGAUCGGGAAGAACAUCGGUGGCGAAAGCGCUCUGCUGGACUGCAACUGACACUCAGGGACGAAAGCUAGGGGAGCGAAUGGG